rnacentral:rRNA from 1 species
GAAAAGAAAUCAACCGAGAUUCCCCCAGUAGCGGCGAGCGAACGGGGAGGAGCCCAGAGCCUGAAUCAGUGUGUGUGUUAGUGGAAGCGUCUGGAAAGGCGCGCGAUACAGGGUGACAGCCCCGUACACAAAAAUGCACAUACUGUGAGCUCGAUGAGUAGGGCGGGACACGUGGUAUCCUGUCUGAAUAUGGGGGGACCAUCCUCCAAGGCUAAAUACUCCUGACUGACCGAUAGUGAACCAGUACCGUGAGGGAAAGGCGAAAAGAACCCCGGCGAGGGGAGUGAAAAAGAACCUGAAACCGUGUACGUACAAGCAGUGGGAGCCUCUUUAUGGGGUGACUGCGUACCUUUUGUAUAAUGGGUCAGCGACUUAUAUUCUGUAGCAAGGUUAACCGAAUAGGGGAGCCGAAGGGAAACCGAGUCUUAACUGGGCGUUAAGUUGCAGGGUAUAGACCCGAAACCCGGUGAUCUAGCCAUGGGCAGGUUGAAGGUUGGGUAACACUAACUGGAGGACCGAACCGACUAAUGUUGAAAAAUUAGCGGAUGACUUGUGGCUGGGGGUGAAAGGCCAAUCAAACCGGGAGAUAGCUGGUUCUCCCCGAAAGCUAUUUAGGUAGCGCCUCGUGAAUUCAUCUCCGGGGGUAGAGCACUGUUUCGGCAAGGGGGUCAUCCCGACUUACCAACCCGAUGCAAACUGCGAAUACCGGAGAAUGUUAUCACGGGAGACACACGGCGGGUGCUAACGUCCGUCGUGAAGAGGGAAACAACCCAGACCGCCAGCUAAGGUCCCAAAGUCAUGGUUAAGUGGGAAACGAUGUGGGAAGGCCCAGACAGCCAGGAUGUUGGCUUAGAAGCAGCCAUCAUUUAAAGAAAGCGUAAUAGCUCACUGGUCGAGUCGGCCUGCGCGGAAGAUGUAACGGGGCUAAACCAUGCACCGAAGCUGCGGCAGCGACGCUUAUGCGUU